GACGAACCGUGCGAACGUUGUUCGGAAUCACUGGGCUUAAAGGGCGCGUAGGCGGGCGGCCAAGUCAGGGGUGAAAGCCCCCAGCUCAACUGGGGAAGUGCCUUUGAUACUGGUUGUCUCGAGGGAGGUAGGGGCGUGCGGAACUUCCGGUGGAGCGGUGAAAUGCGUAGAUAUCGGAAGGAACGCCGGUGGCGAAAGCGGCGCGCUGGACCACUUCUGACGCUGAGGCGCGAAAGCUAGGGGAGCAAACAGG
rnacentral:rRNA from 1 species